rnacentral:RNase_P_RNA from 1 species
GAGGGCAGCCGGGCAGUCGCAGGGCGUCUCCCCUUCGGGGGCCGUUCUGAGGAAAGUCCGGGCUCCUUGAGCAAGGCGCCAGGUAACGCCUGGGCACGGCCGAUGAGGCCGUGACGGACAGUGCCACAGAGAACAGACCGCCGCGGAACAUCGCGGCAAGGGUGAAACGGUGGGGUAAGAGCCCACCGCGCCUUCCGGUAACGGAGGCGGCACGGCAAACCCCGCCGGAGCAAGGCCAAAUAGGCGGCGAGGAGACGCUCACUCCGAUCAAGACGCCGCGGGUAGGCUGCACGAGGACGGGGGAGACCCCGUUCCCAGAGGAAUGACUGCCGCGGAGCUCCGGCUCCGGCACAGAACCCGGCUUACAGGCUGCCUUCAACG